rnacentral:rRNA from 1 species
GGGGCAUAGUGACCCGGUCUACCACCGGGAUGUUCAUAACCCUUUGUUGUCCGACUCUGUUGCCUCCGGGGCGACCCUGCCUUCGGGCGGGGGCUCCGGGUGGACACUUCAAACUCUUGCGUAACUUUGCAGUCUGAGUAAACUUAAUUAAUAAAUUAAAACUUUUAACAACGGAUCUCUUGGUUCUGGCAUCGAUGAAGAACGCAGCGAAAUGCGAUAAGUAAUGUGAAUUGCAGAAUUCAGUGAAUCAUCGAAUCUUUGAACGCACAUUGCGCCCCCUGGUAUUCCGGGGGGCAUGCCUGUUCGAGCGUCAUUUCACCACUCAAGCCUCGCUUGGUAUUGGGCAUCGCGGUCCGCCGCGUGCCUCAAAUCGACCGGCUGGGUCUUCUGUCCCCUAAGCGUUGUGGAAACUAUUCGCUAAAGGGUGUUCGGGAGGCUACGCCGUAAAACAACCCCAUUUCUAAGGUUGACCUCGGAUCAGGUAGGGAUACCCGCUGAACUUAAGCAUAUCAAAGGCGCGGGAGGAA